rnacentral:rRNA from 1 species
GACAGAGGGGGCAAGCGUUGCUCGGAAUUACUGGGCGUAAAGGGCGCGUAGGCGGCCUGCUAAGUCGGACGUGAAAUCCCCCGGCUCAACCGGGGAACUGCGUCCGAUACUGGUGGGCUCGAAUCCGGGAGAGGGAUGUGGAAUUCCAGGUGUAGCGGUGAAAUGCGUAGAUAUCUGGAGGAACACCGGUGGCGAAGGCGGCGUUCUGGACUGUAACUGACACUGAGGAACGAAAGCCAGGGGAGCAAACGGG